rnacentral:rRNA from 1 species
GACGAACGCUGGCGGCGCGCCUAACACAUGCAAGUCGAACGAGCGAGAGAGAGCUUGCUUUCUCGAGCGAGUGGCGAACGGGUGAGUAACGCGUGAGGAACCUGCCUCAAAGAGGGGGACAACAGUUGGAAACGACUGCUAAUACCGCAUAAGCCCACGGCUCGGCAUCGAGCAGGGGGAAAAGGAGCCAUCCGCUUUGAGAUGGCCUCGCGUCCGAUUAGCUAGUUGGUGGGGUAACGGCCCACCAAGGCGACGAUCGGUAGCCGGACUGAGAGGUUGAACGGCCACAUUGGGACUGAGACACGGCCCAGACUCCUACGGGAGGCAGCAGUGGGGAAUAUUGCACAAUGGGGGAAACCCUGAUGCAGCGACGCCGCGUGGAGGAAGAAGGUCUUCGGAUUGUAAACUCCUGUUGUUGGGGAAGAUAAUGACGGUACCCAACAAGGAAGUGACGGCUAACUACGUG